UACGUAGGAGGCAAGCGUUGUCCGGAAUCAUUGGGCGUAAAGAGCGUGUAGGCGGCCAGAUAAGUCCGCUGUGAAAUCUCGAGGCUCAACUUCGAGCUGUCGGUGGAAACUGUCUGGCUAGAGUCCGGAAGAGGAGAACGGAAUUCCUGGUGUAGCGGUGAAAUGCGCAGAUAUCAGGAGGAACACCGGUGGCGAAAGCGGCUCACUGGACCUGAUCGUGACACUGAGGUGCGAAAGCUAGGGUAGCAAACGGG
rnacentral:rRNA from 1 species